rnacentral:rRNA from 1 species
AUUGAACGCUGGCGGCAGGCCUAACACAUGCAAGUCGAGCGAGCGGCGGACGGGUGAGGAAUGUCAGGGAAACUGACUGAUGGAGGGGGAUAACUACUGGAAUCGGUAACGAAUACCGCAUACCAUCCGCAGUGCCCAGAUGGGAGUAGCUAGUAGGUGGGGUAACGGCGCACGUAGGCGACGAUCCCUAGCUGGUCUGAGAGGAUGACACGCCACACUGGAACUGAGAAACGGUCCAGACGCCUACGGUAGGCAGCAGUGGGGAAUAUUGGACAAUGGGCGAAAGCCUGCUCCAGCCAUGCCGCGUGUGUGAAGAAGGUCUUCGGAUUGUAAAGCACUUUAAGUUGGGAGGCGUUACCAACAGAAUAAGCACCGGCUAACUUCGUGCCAGCAGCCGCGGUAAUAC